AGAGAGAGACAUGCGCGCAUAUCAAUAAGCGGAGGAAAAGAAACUAACUAGGAUUCCCUCAGUAACGGCGAGUGAAGCGGGAAGAGCUCAAAUUUGAAAUCUUCAAGGUUCUACCUUGACGAAUUGUAGUUUAAAGAAGUGUUUUCUGUUGGAGUUUUGGUAAAAGUUCUUUGGAAUAGGACAUCAUAGAGGGUGAGAAUCCCGUAUUUGACCAUUAUUUCCAGCUUUGUGAUACACUUUCAAGGAGUCGGAUUGUUUGGGAAUGCAGUCCAAAAUGGGUGGUAAAUUUCAUCUAAAGCUAAAUACUGGCGAGAGACCGAUAGCGAACAAGUACCGUGAGGGAAAGAUGAAAAGAACUUUGAAAAGAGAGUUAAACAGUACGUGAAAUUGUCAAAAGGGAAGCGUUUGAUCACCAGUGUUGUUUUCUCGAAAAUCAAUUAAAGAAGGCAUGAUAUUGCUAAGUUGUAUUAGACUUUAUCAGCUUAACUGCCUCUUAGUUCUUGAGCUUUUCUUUAAUGCACUUUUCAGUUAACAAGUCAACAUCAAUUUCUUUUGUUGUAAAAGGGUCAUUGGAAGGUGGCUUUCUUUUCGGAGAAAGUGUUUAUAGCCUUUGGCCUCUGCAAUCGGAGAGGAUUGAGGUCUGCAGCGUAGAUCCUUCGGGGUUAGAUACAUUUGUGCUAAGUUAUAGCCUUUCAUAGACAACUUGUUGACUAUGAUCAGUCAUGUAGCUUACUCGCUUAUGCUAUUUUACCUACGCUUAGGAUGUUGAUGUGAUACUGCGAGCA
rnacentral:rRNA from 1 species